GGCUUGGUUUGCAAGUGUCAGAUACUGUUAAGCAUCUGAAAUCCCCGGGCUAACCCUGGGAACUGAUGACUG
rnacentral:rRNA from 1 species